rnacentral:rRNA from 1 species
UACAGAGGUCCCAAGCGUUGUUCGGAUUUACUGGGCGUAAAGGGUGCGUAGGUGGUGGGGUAAGUCUGAUGUGAAAUCUCCGGGCUUAACUCGGAAAUGGCAUUGGAAACUACCUUGCUAGAGGAUUGGAGGGGGGACUGGAAUGCUCGGUGUAGCAGUGAAAUGCGUAGAUAUCGAGCGGAACACCAGUGGCGAAGGCGAGUCCCUGGACAAUUCCUGACACUGAGGCACGAAAGCUAGGGGAGCAAACAGG